UCUUAGUUGAUGCUGCUCUUAACUUGCCUGGCUAAAUGUCUUACUGUAAUGCCCAUAUUGUGCAAGUUACCAGCUUCAGUCUUUUGAUUAAAUAGUGAAUUAUUUGCAUAAUGGUUGGCCAUUUAACAUUACUAUAACUAAAAAUUGCUAUAUCAUGUUCCCUUUGAACCUUGAUAUAUUUGUCAGCACUGAUUAGGGAAAAUCUUAAUGAAUAUAAAAUUGGUUUCCGCUCUAAUAUUUUACAGUCUUAUGUGGAUGCUACUAGUCCUCACGGAGUGAACACUGCUUGGGCAAUGUUGGCUUUAGUUUAUGCUGGGCAGGUUGAACGAGAUCCCACACCAUUGUAUCAUGCCGCAAAAGAAUUGAUGAAUAUGCAACUAGACACAGGGGAGUUUCCCCAGCAAGAACACGUUGGAUGCUUCAAUUGCUCCGUGUACUUCAAUUAUGGCAACUACUGCAACUUAUAUCCCAUCUGGGCUAUUGGAGAGUUUCAUCGUCGACUACUUGAGAAGAACUGAAACAUACGAACAUGAUAUGUUACAUCACUUCUCGUAGGUGUAACUGUGCCUAUUGCAAAAGGGGGUAUACACGAACUACAUAUAUGUAAAACAUACAUCCUUAGCACCAAUUGACUAAGGCAAAACACAUUAGAGAACAUUGGUAUCUUAUGUAUUGUAAUGAAAUCUAUAUCUAUUCCUACUAAUAAAGUAAGGUGAUAUACUUGGUUUCGUCUCG